rnacentral:rRNA from 1 species
AUGAACGCUGGCGGCGUGCCUAAUCCAUGCAAGUCGCGCGAACGGACGAGAAGCUUGCUUCUCUGAUGUUAGCGGCGGACGGGUGAGUAACACGUGGAUAACCUACCUAUAAGACUGGGAUAACUUCGGGAAACCGGAGCUAAUACCGGAUAAUAUUUUGAACCGCAUGGUUCAAAAGUGAAAGACGGUCUUGCUGUCACUUAUAGAUGGAUCCGCGCUGCAUUAGCUAGUUGGUAAGGUAACGGCUUACCAAGGCAACGAUGCAUAGCCGACCUGAGAGGGUGAUCGGCCACACUGGAACUGAGACACGGUCCAGACUCCUACGGGAGGCAGCAGUAGGGAAUCUUCCGCAAUGGGCGAAGGCCUGACGGAGCAACGCCGCGUGAGUGAUGAAGGUCUUCGGAUCGUAAAACUCUGUUAUUAGGGAAGAACAUAUGUGUAAGUAACUGUGCACAUCUUGACGGUACCUAAUCAGAAAGCCACGGCUAACUACGUG